rnacentral:snRNA from 1 species
AUCUUUGCGCUUGGGGCAAUGACGCAGUUAGUGAGGUGAAACCGAGACGCGUCAAUUGCUGGUUGAAAACUAUUUCCAAAACUAUAUUGGUUAGACUUCUGGCACUUCUGACAAUCACGACAGGAA